rnacentral:rRNA from 1 species
GUCGAGAAUUUUUCUCAAUGGGGGAAACCCUGAAGGAGCGACGCCGCGUGGGGGAUGAAGGGCUUCGGCUCGUAAACCCCUGUCAUUUGUGAGCAAGUGUAUUGUUUAAGAGAUGAUGACAUUGAUAGUAGCAAAAGAGGAAGGGACGGCUAACUCUGUGCCAGCAGCCGCGGUAAUACAGAGGUCCCAAGCGUUGUUCGGAAUCACUGGGCGUAAAGGGUGCGUAGGCGGUAUGGUAAGACUUGGGUGAAAUCUCCAUGCUUAACGGGGAGGGAGCCUGGGAGACUGCCGUGCUAGAGGAUUGGAAGGGAGACUGGAAUUCUUGGAGUAGCAGUGAAAUGCGUAGAUAUCAAGAGGAACACCAGUGGCGAAGGCGAGUCUCUGGACAAGACCUGACGCUGAGGCACGAAGGCCAGGGGAUCAAACGGGAUUAGAUACCCUAGUAGUCC